rnacentral:rRNA from 1 species
UCUUCUAGCUUGCUAGAAGUGGAUUAGUGGCGCACGCGUGAGUAAUGCAUAGGUUAUGUGCCCUUUAGUCUGGGAUAGCCACUGGAAACGGUGAUUAAUACUGGAUACUCCCUACGGGGGAAAGUUUUUCGCUAAAGGAUCAGCCCAUGUCCUAUCAGCUUGUUGGUGAGGUAAUGGCUCACCAAGGCUAUGACGGGUAUCCGGCCUGAGAGGGUGAUCGGACACACUGGAACUGAGACACGGUCCAGACUCCUACGGGAGGCAGCAGUAGGGAAUAUUGCUCAAUGGGGGAAACCCUGAAGCAGCAACGCCGCGUGGAGGAUGAAGGUUUUAGGAUUGUAAACUCCUUUUGUUAGAGAAGAUUAUGACGGUAUCUAACGAAUAAGCACCGGCUAACUCCGUGCCAGCAGCCGCGGUAAUACGGAGGGUGCAAGCGUUACUCGGAAUCACUGGGCGUAAAGAGUGCGUAGGCGGGGUAAUAAGUCAGAUGUGAAAUCCUGUAGCUUAACUACAGAACUGCAUUUGAAACUGUUACUCUGGAGUGUGGGAGAGGUAGGUGGAAUUCUUGGUGUAGGGGUAAAAUCCGUAGAGAUCAAGAGGAAUACUCAUUGCGAAGGCGACCUGCUGGAACAUUACUGACGCUGAUGCACGAAAGCGUGGGGAGCAAACAGGAUUAGAUACCCUGGUAGUCCACGCCCUAAACGAUGGAUGCUAGUUGUUGCCUUGCUUGUCAGGGCAGUAAUGCAGCUAACGCAUUAAGCAUCCCGCCUGGGGAGUACGGUCGCAAGAUUAAAACUCAAAGGAAUAGACGGGGACCCGCACAAGCGGU